ACUAUAAAUAUAGAAAGAUUGUCCUUGAUAAAGCAGAUUCUAACUGAGUGUGUUGAAGUGAUAAUUGGGAUCCCGGGACGCUACAUAAGUUUAGAGAGCAUAUUUUAUACUUUGGGACUGCUCUUUGUCUUUGAUGUGAACAUUUAUUCUUCUAGUUUAAGGUUAUUUAAGUGAUUGAUCCUGUCGUAAGUGUUCUCACUACCAACAACCAAUCGACAAUAUUUCAUUUUAGCGUUGUCUUUGCCGUAACGUUGGCUUCGCGUUACUUUUGUUUUAAAUACCUUGAUCGCGUUAAAAGAGUUAUUUUUCAGGCCUGUGACAUAGCCAAAAGACUUCGCAUUAAUGUCCUUGUGAUUUUAUAGAGAUAUCUCUAGAACUGAGGAUUUUAGAAAGCGUCAUCUGUACUUUCUCAAAGUUGUCAAGAUAUAUUGUUUACGCCCAACACGCAUAAGAUUACAUAACUCAAAAUGAUUCGAGCAAUUCGAGCAAAACCGGUCUUUUGUUAAAAGGACAACUAGUUAAUUAAACGAAAAUGGUCCUUUUAUCGGUCCUUUGUAUCGUCAUCGAUCCGUGUCGUUGAACAAUGAAAAAUUUGUCAUGAAAUUAUAAAAUAGCCGAUUUUGUGAGAAAAAUGCGGGUCUACGGAGUGGGAACUUUCCGGAUUUGAACUCAGCGUCGGUGCUUGAAAGUGUUAGUUCCCGUAAAAAUAUUUCAGAUCUAAGACAUGCUUAAUGAAAGUGAACGAUAUCGGGUCACAACACACGGACUAAUAGCAGAAUCAAGAGUAUAAUCUCAAUUGACCUUUCGCACGGCUGAUUUUCCCACCAAUUUUGGGGUACUGCCUCUCCCACGUUUGAAGGUCUCCGCACUACGAAAUGCCUCUUUGUAGUAUUGUAGUUGGUUGUAUAAUGGUAAAUUUAGAUUUUGGCCUUCGUGAAAAAGGCCAAUUGACCCCAUGCAAGUUGGCCCUUUGCUUGCCCCCAGUUGUAAGCAACUGAGCAAGAUUUUCAUAUGAACUGCAUGGGUCCUUUUUAUUACUCAUAAAAGGCUCAACCUCGUUGAGAAAGUUGCAUCUGCCUGCUUUCUCAUAUGCACAUUCUUGACAUCUCAUACUCAAGUCAACACAGAAUGGUGCUAAUGUACUACUGUAUAUAGGGAAAAGGCCCUAAUCACUCAUCAGGUUAAUUUAAGCCCCGUUUACACUACGCUCAAUUUUUGGUACGGCACAGAUAAAAUUGGUACUACCGUACCACUUUUAUCAAAAAUCGAGCGUAAUGUAAACGGGGUAAGACUUUACCCUGAGUACAUGUAGACUGUAGUUGUAAUUCCUUAAAAAUGAUCUGCCCAUACAUUGUGUAUACAGCUAAUGUAAUUCUCUAAAUAAAACUAAUUAUAGGAUUUUUGUCAAGAUUUCAAGGAUUUCUUCAGGCAUUAUAUUUGAUGUUUAAUAGACCUAACCUGCAGGCCUGCAAUUUUAAUAGACCUAACCUGCAGGCCUGCAACGGUCUGACCUAUGAUAGACCUGGAGAGUUCUGUUUUUAUAGUAAUGGUG